CCCUGGUGGAGUCAACUGCUCCGUGGGGAACUAGGCUUCAUAGAUUACGUUGGCGCGCACGGUCUAAGCUUCCCCAAAGGUCGGCCAAGAUCUGCAAUAGCCGUCUGUGAAGUAAGC